AAAUGGGUGGAAAAUGGGGGUAAAUGGGUGGAAAAUUGGGUAAAUGGGUGGAAAAUGGGGGUAAAUGGGUGGAAAAUGUGGUUAAAUCUGAUCAAAGUGUGGUUAAAUCGGCACAAAAUGUGGGUAAAUGGGUGCAAAAUGGGGGUAAAUCG
rnacentral:lncRNA from 1 species